AAAGCUCAUCUCUAUCACUUCUCUUUCGUAGUGUUUACUGUGUGAACGUCAUCAACUAUACUCCAUAUAAAAGUUAAUAUUUUUGUUGAUUUGAUUGGACUUGAUCGCUAUUAUGGAUUACAAGGAGGUAGCAAAAAAACUUCAAGAGAAAAACGAGAAUUUGAAGUAUCGCAUUUAUACUACGAAAAAUGACAGAAACAAUAAUCAUAUACCUUCAAAAUCGAGUCGUGGUGGGGAUGACAACAAGGGUGACAAGAAGAAAA